GCAGCCGUGGCCUACUGGUUAGCGCUUCGGACUUGUAACCGGAGGGUUUCCGGUUCGAACCCCGACCAGUGGG
rnacentral:tRNA from 1 species